AGCAUAUCAAUAAGCGGAGGAAAAGAAACCAACAGGGAUUGCCCCAGUAACGGCGAGUGAAGCGGCAACAGCUCAAAUUUGAAAUCUGGCCCCUAGGGUCCGAGUUGUAAUUUGCAGAGGAUGCUUUUGACAAGGUGCCUUCCGAGUUCCCUGGAACGGGACGCCAUAGAGGGUGAGAGCCCCGUCUGGUCGGAUACCGCGUCUCUGUAAAGCUCCUUCGACGAGUCGAGUAGUUUGGGAAUGCUGCUCAAAAUGGGAGGUAUAUGUCUUCUAAAGCUAAAUAUUGGCCAGAGACCGAUAGCGCACAAGUAGAGUGAUCGAAAGAUGAAAAGCACUUUGAAAAGAGGGUUAAAAAGUACGUGAAAUUGUUGAAAGGGAAGCGCCUAUGACCAGACUUGGGCCCGGUGAAUCAUCCAGCGUUCUCGCUGGUGCACUUUGCCGGGCACAGGCCAGCAUCAGUUUGGCUUGGGGGAAAAAGGCUUUGGGAACGUAGCUCCUCGGAGUGUUAUAGACCAUUGCAUAAUACCCUGGGCCGGACUGAGGUUCGCGCAUCUGCAAGGAUGCUGGCGUAAUGGUCAUCAGCGACCCGUCUUGAAACACGGACCAAGGAGUCGUCUUCGUAUGCGAGUGUUCGGGUGUAAAACCCCUACGCGUAAUGAAAGUGAACGCAGGUGAGAGCUUCGGCGCAUCAUCGACCGAUCCUGAUGUUCUCGGAUGGAUUUGAGUAAGAGCAUACGGGGCCGGACCCGAAAGAAGGUGAACUAUGCCUGUAUAGGGUGAAGCCAGAGGAAACUCUGGUGGAGGCUCGCAGCGGUUCUGACGUGCGAAUCGAUCGUCAAAUAUGGGCAUGGGGGCGAAAGA
rnacentral:rRNA from 2 species